ACUGGCAGGCUAGAGUCUUGUAGAGGGGGGUAGAAUUCCAGGUGUAGCGGUGAAAUGCGUAGAGAUCUGGAGGAAUACCGGUGGCGAAGGCGGCCCCCUGGACAAAGACUGACGCUCAGGUGCGAAAGCGUGGGGAGCAAACAGGAUUAGAUACCCUGGUAGUCCACGCCGUAAACGAUGUCGAUUUGGAGGUUGUGCCCUUGAGGCGUGGCUUCCGGAGCUAACGCGUUAAAUCGACCGCCUGGGGAGUACGGCCGCAAGGUUAAAACUCAAAUGAAUUGACGGGGGCCCGCACAAGCGGUGGAGCAUGUGGUUUAAUUCGAUGCAACGCGAAGAACCUUACCUGGUCUUGACAUCCACAGAACUUUCCAGAGAUGGAUUGGUGCCUUCGGGAACUGUGAGACAGGUGCUGCAUGGCUGUCGUCAGCUCGUGUUGUGAAAUGUUGGGUUAAGUCCCGCAACGAGCGCAACCCUUAUCCUUUGUUGCCAGCGGUUAGGCCGGGAACUCAAAGGAGACUGCCAGUGAUAAACU
rnacentral:rRNA from 1 species